UACGUAGGGUGCAAGCGUUUGUCCGGAAUUAUUGGGCGUAAAGAGCUCGUAGGCGGUCUGUCGCGUCGGCUGUGAAAUCCCGAGGCUCAACCUCGGGUCUGCAGUCGAUACGGGCAAACUAGAGUAUUGCAGGGGAGACUGGAAUUCCUGGUGUAGCGGUGAAAUGCGCAGAUAUCAGGAGGAACACCGGUGGCGAAGGCGGGUCUCUGGGCCGAAAUUGACGCUGAGGAGCGAAAGCGUGGGGAGCAAACAGG
rnacentral:rRNA from 1 species